CAUCCUUUUCUUGGCAGGUAUGAGUUGGGCUGUACUCUCGCAUGUUAUGUUCAGAGGAAGAGCAUUUUCAAUGCUAUGUCUUAAGUCAAUCACCGAGACAACA